GAUGCCGCAUCCGAUUUCAAGAACGCGCGCAUUCUUCGGAAUCAGGAACCGCAGAUAGGCUUCAUCCUCACCAUGAAAAAAUGAAGCUUUGCUCCGCCACUCGGGGCGCGAGGCUGCAUAUUCCUCCGAAUGAGCGAAGAUCGCCUGCUUGUGGGCAGAACCAGAAACUAUCGACAUUUUACUGCAUGAAAUCCAGAGAUGACAAAGCCUGUAAAAGGCCCGUUUCGGGCGAACUUAUGCGCUGACAAUCGGGUUUUCACAAGCUUCGUAAUGGCCAAUUUG
rnacentral:misc_RNA from 1 species